rnacentral:rRNA from 1 species
AUUGAACGCUGGCGGCAGGCUUAACACAUGCAAGUCGAGCGGAGAUGAGGUGCUUGCACCUUAUCUUAGCGGCGGACGGGUGAGUAAUGCUUAGGAAUCUGCCUAUUAGUGGGGGACAACAUUCCGAAAGGAAUGCUAAUACCGCAUACGUCCUACGGGAGAAAGCAGGGGAUCUUCGGACCUUGCGCUAAUAGAUGAGCCUAAGUCGGAUUAGCUAGUUGGUGGGGUAAAGGCCUACCAAGGCGACGAUCUGUAGCGGGUCUGAGAGGAUGAUCCGCCACACUGGGACUGAGACACGGCCCAGACUCCGACGGGAGGCAGCAGUGGGGAAUAUUGGACAAUGGGGGGAACCCUGAUCCAGCCAUGCCGCGUGUGUGAAGAAGGCCUUAUGGUUGUAAAGCACUUUAAGCGAGGAGGAGGCUACUGAGACUAAUACUCUUGGAUAGUGGACGUUACUCGCAGAAUAAGCACCGGCUAACUCUGUGCCAGCAGCCGCAGUAA